UUCCCCCUCUUCUUCAUCUGUUGGAGGUUGGGGAAAAGUAGAGUAUACCCAUUAUUGAGUUUGAAAAAGGUUAGGAAAAAGUUGAAAAACAAAACAGUCUGAGAAUAGAUAGAAAAGCCGGAGAUAAUUCAGGGAGGGGGUAAAUUUCAUCUUUUUAGAUUCCGUUUCUUUAAUAUUACAUAUAGGAAUUGAUUUGUUAUUUUUUUUAGAAAAAAAGGGGCACUCAUUAGAGUAGAAGCAAAACAGAGAGAUAUAGGCCCUCAAGAAAAAUUUUGAAUUCUAUAGUAAUUGAGUUAAGAGCUUCGAAUCUGGAGCUCUCAUCCUAAGAUCUCUGUUCUUUUCGACGGAAAAUUCCAUUGGAGUUCCUUUCGCGUGGUGGUGGAAAGAUUCUCAACUCGUGUCUCAGUGUUGUUGCUCCAGAAGAGGUAAACUCUCCUGCGAGUAUUAGGAGCUACUGGUCACUCAAAAAUAGUGAGCAUUUGACUCUAUAUUUCUUUUAGUACUCUGUUUGGGGUUUUGUAUCUCAUUCAGUGCCAUUUUGAUCUCUCCACAUUAGCGUCUUGCUAUGUUUCUCAUGUUUCUUUUCGAGUUUCAUUUAAAUUGUUAUAGUUGUUGAUGUUAUAUUUAUGUUGUCUGCUCAAAAUUCUUAGAUUAAUAUUGAAAUCAUGCUCUCGAAUCCAUGAUUAAGACCUUGGCCGAGUCGUAUGUUUUUAAUUGUUCUUCGCUUUGAAUCUGCAUAGCUGAAUAUAUGUUGAAUUCGAUUUGCUUGUUCCUUGUUUUGUUUUCAACAUGCUCCUUUGUUUGGAUUGUUUAAUACUUUGACUAGAUUGUAUCCCUUUCCCUUUGUAACUCUAUAUAUUUUAGCUCAUCUUGCCAUAGUUUAACUAAUUAUUUGAGGAUUCACUAUUGGCUAUUCAAAUCUUAUCUUUGUUGUUUGUGUUUUGCAUCCACUGAAAGAGUCAUUAGUGGGGCACCUUAUUUCGACUUUGCUCCUUGAGAUCUCUUUAAGAAAGUUAAAAUAUGCAUUUCCUAGAGUUUUUAGUUUUAUACUUAAGCUUAAUAUAUAUCCUUUAAGAUCUUAACUUUUCUGUUUUGUUGGUGUUAAGUUCCUUUAAAUGUUUUCCCUUGUGUUAAAAAGUUAUCAAAACAUUCUAGUGCUUUCAUAUCUCUGAAUGAUGUUAUGAGGCUAUGCCAAUGAACCCCCUGUUUGGUUAUUAUCUUAGGAGAUUUGGUGUCUAAGUUAUUAGUAGUUGUAUUGUCAUCUACUAAGUUUAGUAACUCCAAUUUGCUCUCUGUUAUAAUGAGUUUCGAAAGAAAUUCCAUAUGUGGGAAGUGCAAAUCUUUGCAGUUUUUAAUAUGUGGUUGUUUGUUAGUAUAUGAGCAUUACAUGUGUCUUUGAAAUUUUAAUUUAGGUUCAUUUGAAAAUGAUCAUCUUUAACAACAUAUUUAUAUGUUAGAUUAUUCCUACAUUUUAUUUAAUGUUAAAGCUGUUAAGUUUUGAUCAUUAAUUGCUUCUUUUUUUUUUGCUCUCUCGUUUCUCUUUUCAUGAAAACUUCAUCCGAUUUGCCAUGAACUCUAAUCAUUCCCUUUGCAUUUUGGGAGAGCCAUAAAGUCUCAAUUUCCCCUCUUAUCGAGUCAGCCCCUUUUCUGAGUUGAAGAAUCGAAGAGCAGGUUCUCAAAAUUUGAUGUACAGGUGUUCAAGAGUCCAAGAAGGUUUAUAUACAGCAGUAUACACGAGAUAUACAUCCAUAUAUAGUGACAUACCUUCUCUGUAUUCGCUGUAUAAAUGUAGAGAAAUGGGCCCCAAAAGCUCUAAAAUUUUAGCUUUGAUUUUGUAUUGGAAAAUGACAGAAAUCCUACCUAUAAGUUCUCUUAUUACCAUUAUCCCCUAUUAGUUUUACAAAUCCCUAAAAUCCUUCAUUUAUGCGCAUCAUAUUAAUGUAUCAGCGCAUCAUAUUAAUGUAUCUCGCGCAUCAAAUUAGUGUAUCAUGUAUAAAAUGUACAUCAGAUGAGUGUAUCAUAUAUAAAAUAUAAUGUAUCUUACUUAACGAUUAAUGUAUCAACACUUAUAUUAUUGUAUCUGUUUGAGGGAUUUCUAUAAUUAUAAACUUAUAAGGAACAAAUGGUAAUUUUGCCUUAAAAGUGAUUUUUGUCCUAUGCCCUUUUGUAUUAAUUGGGUCUAAGCCCAUUUGUUGAUCUUUAUUUUGUUAGUUUAUGAUGGGUCGGAUUGGGCCCAAGGAAAGGAAAAUUUCAAAAAUAGUCUAGGAUAGGGAACUGGGCCAAGCUCAAGUGCUGGCCCAGACGGACAUAAAUCAGACAUGGGCCCAAAACACACACUCUUUUUGUUUAUUAUAUUUGUUUUUUAUUUGCACAAUUGUUUAUUUGUAGUCAAUUCUUAGAUUUUCCUAAUUUGAUUUCCCCAAAAGAGAUAAUUAAUUCGAGAUUUUCAAAAGAUCAAAUGAUUCUAUAAUUACUUAAGGUGCUUCGAAAUAUUUUACUUAAAAUUAUGUAUAGAAUUAUGUAUAGAAUGUAUUAGAUUGAUAAAUUCAUAUUGUUUUACUUUGGAUUCAUAGUAUAUUGUAAUUAUUAUAUUGAAUUGGUGAUCAUGGCCAUUAGUAAGUCACUUUGAGUAUUGAGUUGGAUUGAAUUGGUUAUGGAUUGAAUUGGUUAUGGAUCGAAGUUGAGAGAUUGAAUUGGUCAAACGCUGCCCUAAUUCUUUUUAUAUUAUGUAAUAUAGGUCUUCAAUUGUGAUUGUGAUUGGAAUGCUCCAUUUAUGGUGGCUGUGCUUAUGUGUUAUAUUUGUAAAUAAUGUGGCCCUGUCGGCAUUACUUUAUAAAUAGUGAUAUUGUCAUGUUUAGACUUGAUUAUGAUCAAUGUGAAGGACUAUGUGAUAUAUGUGUGUGAGUGAGAUUGAACUCUCAUAAUUGGCUAUAUGUGAUCUUGAUAGACUAGGGUGAUGUCUCUAGUUGUGUUACUAGUGUGUCUUGAUAGGUUAAGUUGGUUAUUCCUACAUAAUACUUGAACACUAUUGUAUAUGUGAUAUGGAGAUGAUGUAUGUGUCUUGAUUGGUAGACUAUGUCCCUAAUCAAAAUGCACCUUUGUCUUGUAUGUGUAUGAAUGAAUGUUGAAUGAAAGUCUACAAUCGAUAGAAUGAAGAAAUGGUACCUUUGUAAGUAUGACUUAUAUGUGGAACCUUCUAUAUAGAAAGAAGGUUAUGAAUGAGCUAUCCUUAUGGACCAUUGAGUGGCAUUCCUAGUGGGCCCAUCUUUGGUAGGUGCAUUUUGAUUAGGUAAUGACUAAGAGAUGGUACCUUUUCAUAUACCCUUAUUUGAAUGAACAUUACUUUAUGAGAACAAAGGCUAGCAUCGAGUGAAUAUGUUAUGGGUUGUAUCUUUACUUAAGAAGGAGACUAGAGUGCAAUGUGUAUCUAUUUGAGAAAGAGACUAGAGUGCAUAAAAGACCUUGAUAUUCCUUAACAAUGGGCCUAUAUGAGAUGUGUCCUAGUUCUAUCCUUUGCAAGUAGAACACCCUCCAUCAGAGUAGCUAAUAUGUUCUAUGUCUGUUAUUGCCUAUACGCAUCAUGUGGGAUACAUUCUAAUAUUUGAUAAUUUUUAUAACAUUUAGGUAGUGGAAUAGGAUGCUAUCUAGACAUGGCAUGAGUAAGCUUUGAUGGUGCUAGAGUGUAGGUUCCCUAGCUCUUUCUAAGACCAUUAUGUGAAGUCCUUAAUGAAUGUAAUGUCUCUAAAUUGACUUAUGGAAUGAUUAUGACUUUAGCUAAUGUAUAUUGACUAGAAUGUCCUCUAUCUAGGGUAGCCUUAAGGGUUGCUUAGGUAAGCUUGAAGAGGGUGUAUGAGUGGUCUCUUCUUGUCCUACUUAGGUGAAUCUUGGAGUAACCUUAGAUGUUGAGUAAAUGAAAGGAAAAGGGAACAAUCUUAUCUUAGGAAGUCUUAAGGAUUGGUUUGGGUGGGCUUGAAGAGGGUGUAUGAGUGGUCUCUUCUUGUCUUACUUAAGUAAGUCUCAGGAUAACUUUCGGUGAGAGGUGUAUACAUUUAUGAUGUUGAUGCUAUAUUGUGGAAUGUGACUUAUAUGCACAUAUGUUGACUUGUAAGUGACUAUUAUACUUGUCUUAAAUGUUUUAUCAAAAAGAGCAUGUUUCAUACAAAAGUCUGUUUAUCAUGAUUUUAUGCAUGAUGCUAUACUUAGUACAUGCAUUGUACUAAUUCCAUACUUUUUGUCUAUCUCUAAAGGUGUAGGUGACAUUUGAGAUGAGUCUCGAAGUGGAAGCUUGGGUUAGUGUUAAUUCAAGAAAGAGUUGGUAUGUCCUCACUAGAUUCAAGGACAUAUUAAUGUUUAGAAUUCCUUAUUUAAAGUAUUGUAAUAGACUCAGCUAUUUUCCUAUAUGUUGAAGUAUGGGUCGUAUCCCAAUAUAUUCGUAUGUAUAAGAUGGAGACUUUGAGACUUAACCUUUCAUUAUGUUUUUCUAUAAAAGAG
rnacentral:lncRNA from 1 species